UACGGGGGGAGCAAGCGUUGUUCGGAUUUACUGGGCGUAAAGGGCGCGUAGGCGGCCAGCACAAGUCAGUUGUGAAAUCUCCGAGCUUAACUCGGAAAGGUCAACUGAUACUGUGCGACUAGAGUGCAGAAGGGGCAACUGGAAUUCUUGGUGUAGCAGUGAAAUGCGUAGAUAUCAAGAGGAACACCUGGCGGCGAAGGCGGGUUGCUGGGCUGACACUGACGCUGAUGCGCGAAAGCUAGGGGAGCGAACGGG
rnacentral:rRNA from 1 species